rnacentral:rRNA from 1 species
GACGAACGCUGGCGGCGUGCUUAACACAUGCAAGUCGAACGGAAAGGCCCUGCUUUUGUGGGGUGCUCGAGUGGCGAACGGGUGAGUAACACGUGAGUAACCUGCCCUUGACUUUGGGAUAACUUCAGGAAACUGGGGCUAAUACCGGAUAGGAGCUCCUGCUGCAUGGUGGGGGUUGGAAAGUUUCGGCGGUUGGGGAUGGACUCGCGGCUUAUCAGCUUGUUGGUGGGGUAGUGGCUUACCAAGGCUUUGACGGGUAGCCGGCCUGGGAGGGUGACCGGCCACAUUGGGACUGAGAUACGGCCCAGACUCCUACGGGAGGCAGCAGUGGGGAAAAUUGCACAAUGGGCGGAAGCCUGAUGCAGCAACGCCGCGUGCGGGAUGACGGCCUUCGGGUUGUAAACCGCUUUCGCCUGUGACGAAGCGUGAGUGACGGUAAUGGGUAAAGAAGCACCGGCUAACUACGUG